rnacentral:rRNA from 1 species
UACAGAGGUCUCAAGCGUUUGUUCGGAUUCAUUGGGCGUAAAGGGUGCGUAGGCGGCGCGGUAAGUCGGGUGUGAAAUCUCGGAGCUUAACUCCGAAACUGCAUUCGAUACUGCCGUGCUUGAGGACUGGAGAGGAGACUGGAAUUUACGGUGUAGCGGUGAAAUGCGUAGAUAUCGUAAGGAAGACCAGUGGCGAAGGCGGGUCUCGUGGACAGUUCCUUGACGCUGAGGCACGGAAGGUCAGGGGGAGCAAACGGG